rnacentral:rRNA from 1 species
UCUUGACUAUAAAUCAACUUAGUUUACCAGAGUACUAUGAAUAUAUAAAAUUUAAAACUCAAAGAGCUUGGCGGUGUUUUAGACCUUUCAGGGGAACCUGUCUCGUAAUCGAUAGUCCACGCUAAACCUAACCUUUUUUCGUAAAUCAGUUUGUAUACCGUCGUCGUCAGGUAACUUUUAAAAAUUUAUAAGUUAGCAGAUAAAACAUUAAUAAGUUUAAACGUCAGAUCAAGGUGCAGCCAAUAGAAAGGUGAAGAUGGGUUACAAUUAUGAAAUUGUAAUUAUGAAUUGACUAAUGAAACUUUGUCUUGAAGGAGGACUUGAAAGUAAAGUAUAAGUAUUAUAAAAAAUAUUUGAAUAUGGCUCUGAAACGUGC